rnacentral:rRNA from 1 species
CAAUAGCGUAUAUUAAAGCUGUUGCGGUUAAAAAGCUCGUAGUUGGAUUUCUGUCAAGGACAACUGGUCCGCCCCUCGGGUGAGCACAUAGUUUGGUCUUGGCAUCUUGUUGGAAACUGUUGCUGCACUUGGUUGUGUGGCGCAGUGUCCAGCACUUUCACUUUGAGGAAAUUGGAGUGUUUCAAGCAGGCACAUGCCUUUGGACACAGUAGCAUGGAAUAAUUAGAUUGGGCUUUUGCUCCAACUUGUCGGUUUCUGGAGCUGAGGUGAGAAUUAAUGGGGAUUGUUGGGGGCAUCCGAAUUUAGCCGUCAGAGGUGAAAUUCUCGGAUCUGCUAAAGACGGACAACUGCGAAAGCGUUUGCCCAGGAUGUUUUCAUUGA